UCGAGCGAGAAAGACGCAAAUUAUGCUUCGUGCGUGCCGUGUUAUCUCUCAAAAUAUGCUCCGGGCAAACAUUAUAAAGCACGAAACAUGUCGAGGUGCUCGCAGCGUUUUCCAUCGCAAUUUAAUAAGACUCGUAUCGUGUCAAAGUCGGGAGUGAAAAUAUUCGUGCGAUAGUAUUCUGUUAAUUAGUGCACAUGCGAUUAUAAUUAAUCGUGUUUCGCGAGUGUCAUGUGGAUAUCGAUGAAAAAGCAGCGAAGAACGAACAAGGGAAAAUAGGAGGAAAUCCAGGGAGAGACAUCGUGUAGCAGUAAAAACGGUGAACCGCGGGAUCAAUCUACUUCGAAAAAGAUGAAGGAGUAGAACGCGACGUGGCGAUGGAAAGGAAAGAAUCGUGGGAGGCUGCGACCGAAGAGGAAGCGGAAGAAAAGAAACCUGGGAUAUUACUUUUGCUCGUUAUCGGUUAAUUGGAAUCACAAGAUUCUCGAUCGUUUCCGAGAGCGAGAGAGAGAGAGAGAGAGACAGUCCCACCGUCUCUCCCAUCCGACUCAUCUUCCACUUCCCCCCAUUUGUGGCCCACUAUAUCCCUUUGUAACGUCGCGGGAUAAGCGACUUCGCCGAGUACAGGGUGGGAUGCAAUUACGGUCUCUCUAUAACAAACUCGACUCACGCGGUAACUACUUGCCCGGAGCUUACUCGUAGCUUACUCAUGCAUUGGCGCGAUAAAUUCACUCCUCAAGUGCCCUUCGCUGCGUUUCUGAGUUUGGAGCUAAUAAGAGUCUUUUUCACCGCUCUCUUUUUCUCUCUCAUACUCUGCUUUGUUUUCGCUUACCCUUUGUCUUUAAGGGGAUCCUUAGCUAACCUAAGUUUCCUUUCUGUUUUAUCGACAAAAUGUGAGGUUAGAUAAACUAUA